UGCAUGAAAAUAUUGGAACAAAUGCCCUGAGCGCUUGGACCGAAUUUAGCAUGAAAACGUGACUUCAGUGCUGUUGGCUGCUUUACUGUUGCAUCAAGUUGUUUGAACACCUUCUUGAAAAAUCAGUUAACCUGUGGAAAGGGAGCCAGCCAGAGACAGCUCUGAAACUACGCAUUUGAUCUGAAUACCUACCUAAUGCAAAGGUCUUGCAGAUCAGAGAGCUGAUGAUGAGGAUGACGGCUUCCAAGGUGUUUCAAAGAAAGAACCCUAAUCGCUGCUCCUGGGCUCAAUGGGAGAGAAGCCUGCCUUCUGCAGAGGUGUGAGUGAAGGAGCAGAAAAUGGAGGAGGGCUUGCUUUGUGUGGGGAAGAUUGAGAACUACUGACAGAAGACACUGCAUUUCAUCAAAGGGAGAGGAGUAGAUUUGAUUUCAGCAGGGAUACAGCCUGAAAACUGAAGGAAGAAACUAUUCCUAGUAGAAAGCAGCAUGUGUAACAGCGAUAACGGUAUGAAUCAGUCAUUUCCCUUCUCACUCCUCCAACUCCAUCUGCUGAUCACUCAUAUGAGAGCUGCUUCUGAGGAUUGUUGAAGAUGUGGAACAGUGAAAGCCUUCUUGUCAAGCCUCCAAGAGCAAAUAGCAGCAGAGAUGAGAUUUUGAUUACAUUAGUAAUAAUACCGUAUUGAUCUCAAAACACUUUACAAACAUUAACUAAUUAAGCUUCAAAACAGUGAAGUAAGUUUGCAUUAAUAAAGCCUAUUUAGCAGAUGAAGUGGAGAUAAACAAAGGGUAAGUAAAGUGACCAGAGUCAAGUGGUGAGUGAAGGUCAGAAAAAGGUGUUCUGACUUCUAGUCAUUCUGCCUUUCAUGUGAUCUCAUUGAGAAAAUUUUUGCAGUGAAGCUUGCAGCCAUUUCAAAUUGAAUCAUUUGGGACGUUUUAUCUCAAGCCUGAGCAUUUCUUACAAGAAUCAAGAUGAUAUAAAAGCUUACCAAAGUAAUAAACAUUUUUAGCCUCUCGGGUCCAGCUUUGAUUGACAAGGGGCCAUUUCUGAAAGCGAGGGCAGCGGGAGAGGCAGCAGUGGCCAUCGGGUUUUCUGUGUUGUGAGCCUUUCUUUUCUCAUUUGUGUUGCUCUGGUGGUGCUAGCUGGAUAGAAAACUGCCUUAACCUGCUAAAUGGGAAUUCACAUGGGCUUGACACUGAUGUCAUGCAUCUAUCCCACCCUUCUUAUGGGAGGAGUAAAGCCUUCUCAAGGGAUUGCUCUGCUCUGGUGAUCCCAGCCAGUUUGUGCAGCCUUGGGGGCUAUUAUAGAGUGGAAUGGCUUAGAGUCAGUGGAGCAACCCUGGCUUAAAACCAACAUAACAAAGUGGAGGAUCAGGCACACAGUAAGUGAAUCAUGCAGAGCAGUGCUGACCCAAACAGAGGAUGACGGCUUAGAACAAGUUCCUCAGAGACAUUAAGUUAUCCUUGGAAAGGCAGGUCUCAAAGCCAAGGCUUAUAGUUUCUUAAUGGAUUUCAUUAGGAAGAAAGGAAAGGAACUGGAAAAAGACGUGUAGCUUAAAAGGGAACAGCUUCAGCACAGUCUAAAAUUUGUUCCAUUUUUCAGUAAAAGCAGCCAAUCCUGCCUUGAAAUUCAUGUCCCUUCAAAGUUCAAGGAGGCCUGUAUUGUUGGCCUGCUCAGUCAGAACGCUCCAGCCACUUAUUGUAUGUGGAUUGCGCUCCAGGGACUGGCUGAAAAAAUAUGAUUUAGUGAAAGCUUGUACCCAAAACACAUCAUUGGCCUCUGAUCUCCGAACAUUUAAAUAUUUCAAGCUUACAAGCGGACGCUGUCACGAGGACAGACCCUGAUCCCUAGCUGAUUCUAGAACAUCUGUUGAGGCAUUUACCAAGUUAAUAGAUUAGCUAUGAGAAUCAGGCAGGUGUUUUUCACCAAAGCCAGAAAACAUCAAAAUCAGAUUGCCCUCCAAGUCUUUCAGCACAGGCAAUCGAGUUAGAAUGACUCAUAGAGUCUAACAGAUAAUAAAACACACAUAACAUUUGCUUUAAGGUACAGGUGGGGAUAUUUUGUACUGUGCUUAGGAGAAAGAAAAACUAACUCUAUUUGGGAAUAGAGUAAUUGAAUACAGAUGGGAGGAGGCAAAUGAAAGAAUUUAGCAAAUAUCUCAGUGGAAUAGCUAAUGGGAACGAGACAGAAUAGGAAAUUAAAAAUUAUUCGAAGCAGAUGGACCAUUCUUUGAGUUUUUUAAAAUUUAUUAGGGCUGCGAAAAAAAUGUGUCUGUUUAUUUUCCACGGCCAUGAAAUUAAUGACUUGGUGAGUUGUGCUUGUGCAAUUUUAUGACUGCCAUGUCAUUUGUCAUAAUUUGGGUGCUGUUUGAUAUGGAUUUAUGAAUAUUUCCUCCCCCCAACAUGAUUUAUGGAUGUUGGUCAUAUGUGAAUUAGACUGUCACCUUUAGUAUGAAAAAGUACAAAUGACAGAUUAUAAAAAAAAAAAAAAAAAAAGUGCUCAAGUCCUUAGUGCUGGAAAGCAGAGUUCACAAUCCCCUCCUCUGCUUCUUCAUUGGAAGUUUUUGUUUGGAGCUGACAAUUAAAUGUUUGGACUUGAGUCAAGCAUAUGGGAACAUUGAGAGGGCUUGAAUAGAUCUGAACUCAUCUGAACUUCACCUGUGAAGUUUGAGUCAUCCUUGUACUGUGCACUGAAGGAAAAAAAAAUAUAUACACUACUUGCCAUAGGAACAACUGAUUUACUGUACCACAGCGGCAAGGUGG